rnacentral:rRNA from 1 species
UACAGAGGUCCCAAGCGCUGUUCGGAUUCACUGGGCGUAAAGGGUGCGUAGGCGGUCGGGUAAGUCUGAUGUGAAAUCUCACAGCUUAACUGUGAAACUGCAUUGGAUACUAUCCGGCUUGAGGAAUGGAGGGGAGACUGGAAUACUUGGUGUAGCAGUGAAAUGCGUAGAUAUCAAGUGGAACACCAGUGGCGAAGGCGAGUCUCUGGACAUUUCCUGACGCUGAGGCACGAAAGCCAGGGGAGCAAACGGG